rnacentral:rRNA from 1 species
AGGAUGAAAAUCGGACUUAGUGAUCCGGUGGUUCUGCGUGGAAGGGCCAUCGCUCAACGGAUAAAAGCUACCCUGGGGAUAACAGGCUUAUCUCCCCCAAGAGUCCACAUCGACGGGGAGGUUUGGCACCUCGAUGUCGGCUCAUCACAUCCUGGGGCUGUAGUAGGUCCCAAGGGUUGGGCUGUUCGCCCAUUAAAGUGGUACGCGAGCUGGGUUCAGAACGUCGUGAGACAGUUCGGUCCCUAUCCGUCGCAGGCGUAGGAAAUUUGAGAAGACCUGUCCUUAGUACGAGAGGACCGGGAUGGACGUACCUCUGGUGUACCAGUUGUCCUGCCAAGGGCAUGGCUGGGUAGCUAUGUACGGAAUGGAUAAGCGCUGAAAGCAUCUAAGCGCGAAGCCAACUUCAAGAUAAGAUUUCCCACCGCAAGGGUAAGACCCCAGAAAGACUAUCUGGUUGAUAGGUCGAAGGUGUAAGUGCAGCAAUGUACUUAGCUUAUCGAUACUAAUAGGUCGAGGACUUGACCAAU